AUGUAGUGCUGGAAUGAGCUGCCGAUACAAAGGCCUGGCUGGGGAGAAAUCCUAAUCCACCUGUGACAUCAAGAUCAAGCCCGGUGUGUUGUGCACGAGUUCAGCCACAGCAGACAGCACUUACAAGAGAAGUUCUUGGUUGAGCACGAAGAGCAGUCAGUCAAGUGUUUGCCAUGAUUCGCUUAGGAGCUCCCCGCAUGGACCCGGCCGAGGAGAAGAAGCGGGCCCAGGAGGAGGAGAGGAUGGCGAGGGUGAUGCUCUACUCCAACAUAGCCACCUUUCUCGCCACGGUGGGACUCAUCCGGGCAGCACCGUACGUUGUCGAACGCUUCAUCUGAACGUGGAACCUCAAAAUGAGAUGGAAUUUCUUCCUGAAGAAAUGGAGACAUUAUUACUCAGAAGGAAGAACUUUAUCUGGCCCUCAAAGGGUUACCUUUGUAAACAUAAUAAUGAAAAGCUAUUGUAUUCAUUGCAAAAAUGACAUUGCAAGUUAACAUCUGAAACUGCAUGAAACUGUGUUCCAUUGUGUAGUAUUUGAGAAUAAAUGUGUUGAUUUUA